CUGGCACUAGGACCCUGCAGAGAGGGAACCCUGAGCCUGCGCUCUAAAGAGAGAGAUGCACCAUUUCACAACUUCAGCAAAAGCCAAAGCAGCCAACAAAGCCACAGCCACCUCGGCUGUGCUGGGCUCUGCCUUUUGGGCAGCUCACCGGCCACUCCCCAGCAGAGCGUUCUGUCCUUUCUCUUUUAAAAGCCACGUCAUCGUCUGAUCAUAAUGGAAAUCAAUCUCCUCAAGUCACCACGCAAAGGCGUCUCCAUGGCAACCUCAAGAGGAAGGACACAGAAAUGAUGCUCCAGUGGCUGAAGCAGAAAAAGGAAACCUGUAGCUCCGAAUGGGUUCAGGGGUGCCUCGGGCGCUCCCAGGAAAGGAGGUGA
rnacentral:lncRNA from 1 species